GCCCCCGCCGUUUCGCCCCCGAACCGUUUCGCCCCCGGGAUUUUACCUAACAUUUUUAACUAGUUGCAUUGAAUUACAAAUACAAUCAGGGCCGUCUCAACCCGGGGGUGCAAUGGGUGCGAGGAACCCGGACGCAAAAGUCCAAGGGACGCAAGCCGAACUUUUGCUAGGCUCAAACUUACGCUUUUUGUCCUUUUAAAAUUUUCAAAAUUCUUUAAAAAAAACUACAAAUAACAAAAAUAUACAAGUGCGUUUUCGGUAUUUUUUACAAAGGCUAUUAAUGCUUACUAUUCGCGGUGUGCAAGUACUUGGAAACAUAGAGGUAUAUAUUGACAUAGAGAGAGUGUCAUUCGGAGCGAAGUGACGACACCAUCUUUUUUCUUUGGAUUAGUGCUACUUCACUCUUACACAUAGUAAAGCUGCGACAGUAUGAUAAACGUCAUUUUUAAGUUAGGAGAAGUACGAAGUUAGCUGAUGUCUUUCCUGUUAUUUUUAUUUAGUCACUGUUUACAUUGGACAUUGACAUUUAUUUGUAGAUGUUGUUAGACGAAUAUUCUGUUUGGUUUUGUUUUUUAUUGUUAAUUGUGCAGCGAAAUUGUGAUUGUAAAUUAAAUAUAAAGUUGUUUAUAGCCUACAGAACUGAAUUAUCCCAUAGUAAUUAUCAGUUUGUGUCAAUUUGUUUGUGUGCAAAAAAGAAAAAACACCUUUCCUUGUGUUUGACCGACUUGUAGCAAGGGCUUUCUUGAGAAGCCUGUAAAUUGCGGGAAUAGGACAGACAGGGAUAAAAUCCUCACUUUUUACUGCUCCCAAGGCUAUACAUUUCCCCCAUGCAAUACAUUUAAAUGAAUUUUAUCCAAACAAAGGCAGGAACAUUGGAUAAAAGCAAUAAAGAGAACAGACCACAAAUUAAAAUAUGAGAGUAUGUAGUAAACAUUUUAUAAGUGGAAUAAACACCAGCUAUUUUAAAUGUAGGAAAAGGAGAAACUGCUGGAAUCUAAUUUUACACAAAUGUUUUUGACUAUUGAAGAUUUGGAUAAACAACAGAAGUUACUUUGGGCUAUAGCUAUGUGCAGAUUUAUUUCCUUGUGGAUUACUAUGUUUAUUCUUUUUAACUAUACUUCCUAUAUUGUUUGUGAGAUUAAUAUUAUUAUUUAAUUGAUUAUAUUAAUAUUUUGUAAUAAUAAUCAAUGCUUUGGUUUAACAAAUAGACAACUUAGAAUAGAAAAA